UCCCUGGUGUCUCAGUAAAGAAUCUGCCUGCAAUGCAGAAGAGCUGGGUUUGAUCCCUGGUUUGGGAA
rnacentral:tRNA from 1 species